rnacentral:rRNA from 1 species
AGUGAACGCUGGCGGUAGGCCUAACACAUGCAAGUCGAACGGCAGCACAGUAAGAGCUUGCUCUUACGGGUGGCGAGUGGCGGACGGGUGCGGAAUACAUCGGAAUCUACUUUUUCGUGGGGGAUAACGUAGGGAAACUUACGCUAAUACCGCAUACGACCUACGGGUGAAAGCAGGGGAUCUUCGGACCUCGCGCGAUCGAAUGAGCCUAUGUCGGAUUAGCUAGUUGGCGGGGUAAAGGCCCACCAAGGCGACGAUCCGUAGCUGGUCUGAGAGGAUGAUCAGCCACACUGGAACUGAGACACGGUCCAGACUCCUACGGGAGGCAGCAGUGGGGAAUAUUGGACAAUGGGCGCAAGCCUGAUCCAGCCAUGCCGCGUGGGUGAAGAAGGUCUUCGGGUUGUAAAGCCCUUUUAUUGGGAAAGAAGAGCAGCAGGUUAAUACCCCGCUGUUCUGACGGUACCCAAAGAAUAAGCACCGGCUAACUUCGUG